UACGGGGGGGGCAAGCGUUGUUCGGAAUUACUGGGCGUAAAGGGCGCGUAGGCGGCCUGCUAAGUCGGACGUGAAAUCCCUCGGCUCAACCGAGGAACUGCGUCCGAUACUGGUGGGCUUGAAUCCGGGAGAGGGAUGUGGAAUUCCAGGUGUAGCGGUGAAAUGCGUAGAUAUCUGGAGGGACACCGGUGGCGAAGGCGGCAUCCUGGACCAAAUCUGACGCUGAGGAGCGAAAGCUAGGGGAGCAAACGGG
rnacentral:rRNA from 1 species